rnacentral:rRNA from 1 species
UAAGAGGUCCCGCCUGCCCUGUGACUAUAAGUUUAACGGCCGCGGUAUCUUAACCGUGCAAAGGUAGCGCAAUCACUUGUCUUUUAAAUAAAGACCUGUAUGAAUGGCACGACGAGGGCUUAACUGUCUCCUUUCUCAAGUUAAUGAAAUUGACCUCCCCGUGCAGAGGCGGGGAUAUAAACAUAAGACGAGAAGACCCUAUGGAGCUUUAGGCACUAAAACUGAUCAUGUAAAAAACCUACAUAAGAGAAUAUAACUUUAUGAAACCAGUUUAACUGCCUUUGGUUGGGGCGACCGCGGGGAAACAAAAAACCCCCAUGUGGACUGGGGCCACUCAGGCCCUGCAAAAAAGAGCUCCCGCUCUAAUUAACAGAAUUUCUGACCUUACUGAUCCGGCCUAGCCGAUCAACGAACCGAGUUACCCUAGGGAUAACAGCGCAAUCCCCUUAUAGAGCCCAUAUCGACAAGGGGGUUUACGACCUCGAUGUUGGAUCAGGAUAUCCUAAUGGUGCAGCCGCUAUUAAGGUUCGUU